CCGCAUUCUUCGAUUUGAUAAUUUUAUUGCAUCUGCUAUUUAAGUAGCCACUUCAUUUAAACAAGUUAUCUUGUUGUCAUUAGGUCUACUAAUACAGAUUGUGUAAUACAGUAUCAUGAUGAAAUUUUGUUGUUUGAUUGUAACCAUCUUCUGCGCAAUUCGAGUUUCUAAUUGCGGAAGACUCACUGGAAUUUGUCUGAAAUCCAAUGGUAAAUGUGCAAGAAAAGGUGUUGCUUGUGAUGAUGCGUUUGGUGAAGGAUGGAUAGACCAGGGAAAAUGUUGUAAUGAUAGACCAUGUUGUAUAUAUAAAU